rnacentral:misc_RNA from 1 species
UACAGAGGGUGCGAGCGGUAAUCGGAUUUACUGGGCGUAAAGCGUGCGUAGGCGGCUUUUUAAGUCGGAUGUGAAAUACCCUAGCUGAACUUGGGAAUUGCAUUCGAUACUGGGAAGCUAGAGUAUGGGAGAGGAUGGUAGCAUUCCAGGUGUAGCGGUGAAAUGCGUAGAGAUCUGGAGGAAUACCGAUGGCUACGGCGGCCAUCUGGCCUAAUACUGACGCUGAGGUACGAAAGCAUGGGGAGCAAACAGG